UACGUAGGGGGCAAGCGUUGUCCGGAAUUACUGGGCGUAAAGCGCACGUAGGCGGAUUUGUAAGUCAGGGGUGAAAUCCCGGGGCUCAACCUCGGAACUGCCUUUGAUACUGCGAAUCUCGAGUCCGGAAGAGGUGAGUGGAAUUCCGUAGUGUAGAGGUGAAAUUCGUAGAUAUUAGGAAGAACACCGAGUGGCGAAGGCGGCUCACUGGUCCGGUACUGACGCUGAGGUGCGAAAAGCGUGGGGAGCAAACAGGG
rnacentral:rRNA from 1 species